GACGAACGCUGGCGGCGUGCUUAACACAUGCAAGUCGAACGGAAAGGCCCUGCUUUUGUGGGGUGCUCGAGUGGCGAACGGGUGAGUAACACGUGAGUAACCUGCCCUUGACUUUGGGAUAACUUCAGGAAACUGGGGCUAAUACCGGAUAGGAGCUCCUGCUGCAUGGUGGGGGUUGGAAAGUUUCGGCGGUUGGGGAUGGACUCGCGGCUUAUCAGCUUGUUGGUGGGGUAGUGGCUUACCAAGGCUUUGACGGGUAGCCGGCAUGAGAGGGUGACCGGCAAAAAUGGGACUGAGAUACGGCCCAGACUCCUACGGGAGGAAGCAGUGGGGAAUAUUGCACAAUGGGAGGAAGCCUGAUGCAGCAACGCAGCGUGCGGGAUGACGGCCUUCGGGUUGUAAACAGAUUUCGAAUGUGACGAAGAGUGAGUGACGGUAAUGGGUAAAGAAGCAACGGCUAACGACGUG
rnacentral:rRNA from 1 species